rnacentral:rRNA from 1 species
AUUGAACGCUGGCGGAAUGCUUUACACAUGCAAGUCGAACGGCAGCACGGACUUCGGUCUGGUGGCGAGUGGCGAACGGGUGAGUAAUGUAUCGGAACGUGCCCAGUCGUGGGGGAUAACGUAGUGAGAAUUACGCUAAUACUGCAUACGAUCUAUGGAUGAAAGCGGGGGAUCGCAAGACCUCGCGCGAUUGGAGCGGCCGAUAUCAGAUUAGGGAGUUGGUGGGGUAAAGGCCCACCAAGCCAACGAUCUGUAGCUGGUCUGAGAGGACGACCAGCCACACUGGAACUGAGACACGGUCCAGACUCCUACGGGAGGCAGCAGUGGGGAAUUUUGGACAAUGGGCGAAAGCCUGAUCCAGCCAUUCCGCGUGCAGGAUGAAGGCCCUCGGGUUGUAAACUGCUUUUGUACAGAACGAAAAGGUUUCUACUAAUACUAGGAGCUCAUGACGGUACUGUAAGAAUAAGCACCGGCUAACUACGUGCCAGCAGCCGCCGCAG